rnacentral:misc_RNA from 1 species
AAAUAAGAGAAGCAUACGAAAAACGAUACAAUCAAGAUAUGACACAAGCAAUAUGAAAACGUGGAAUGAUUGCCACUUAGCGACAAGUUCUAUGUAUCAAAGAGGAGACUAUUACAGGAAAUUAUGUACUUGUUUGGAGUUACAGAUCUUGUUAUCUUCCACCAGACAGUUCAACUGCAUCUUGAUUAUAGAUUGAAUCUUCGCCCCAAUCAAAUCGUCGUUGUAGUCUCUCGUAUUCUUGCCUACGUGUAACUUCGACAUGCUGCCAUUCUUCCCACCGCUCAGCAAGUCCCUCUCCUUCAAGCAUUCGUACUACCUCUGACAUUGCUGGACGGUCCUCUGGUGAUCCUUGAGUACACAGCAAUGCAACUUGAAUCAUCAUCUCUACUUCAUCCAUGUUAUAGUUCUUAUGUAGGUUGCGGUCGACAAUAGCAUCCAGCCUUUUCUCCCUUUGCAGUUUUUUAACAUGGUCAAGUAACAAGACAUCAUCUUCUUCUUCUAGGCGUGAAAAGUCUAUAGCGCGUUGACCAGUUACAAUCUCCAAAAGCAUGAUCCCAUAUCCAAAAACAUCAGUUUUUUCUGAUGAUUUCCCAGUGGACAAGUACUCAGGAGCUAUAUGGCCCAUAGUACCCCGAACCUGAGUAGUCACGUUGGUUUUCCUAACAUCAACUAACUUUGCCAAGCCAAAAUCACCAACUACAGCCUCGAAAUCUUCAUCCAGUAAAACAUUAGCUGCUUUAACAUCACGGUGAAUA